AGCAGUCGCCACGGUAAUGCGUAGGGUGCGAGCGUUAAUCGGAAUUACUGGGCGUAAAGCGUGCGCAGGCGGUUCGUUAAGACAGAUGUGAAAUCCCCGGGCUUAACCUGGGAACUGCAUUUGUGACUGGCGAGCUAGAGUAUGGCAGAGGGGGGUAGAAUUCCACGUGUAGCAGUGAAAUGCGUAGAGAUGUGGAGGAAUACCGAUGGCGAAGGCAGCCCCCUGGGCCAAUACUGACGCUCAUGCACGAAAGCGUGGGGAGCAAACAGGAUUAGAUACCCGCGUAGUCCCUGUCUCUUAUAC
rnacentral:rRNA from 1 species